rnacentral:rRNA from 1 species
AUUGAACGCUGGCGGCAGGCCUAACACAUGCAAGUCGAACGAGUGGCGGACGGGUGAGUAAUGUCUGGGAAACUGCCCGAUGGAGGGGGAUAACUACUGGAAACGGUAGCUAAUACCGCAUACCAUCGGAUGUGCCCAUAUGGGAUUAGCUAGUAGGUGGGGUAAUGGCUCACCUAGGCGACGAUCCCUAGCUGGUCUGAGAGGAUGACCAGCCACAAUGGAACUGAGACACGGGCCAGACGCCUACGGUAGGAAGCAGGGGGGAAGAUUGCAAAAUGGGCGCAAGCCUGAUGCAGCAAUGCCGCGUGUAUGAAGAAGGCCUUAGGGUUGUAAAGUACUUUCAGCGAGGAGGCGUUACGCGCAGAAGAAGCACCGGCUAACUACGUGCCAGCAGCCGCGGUAAUAC